rnacentral:rRNA from 1 species
UCGGCUCAUCGCAUCCUGGGGCUGGAGCAGGUCCCAAGGGUUUGGCUGUUCGCCAAUUAAAGCGGUACGUGAGCUGGGUUUAGAACGUCGUGAGACAGUUCGGUCCCUAUCUGCCGUGGGUGUAGGAAUUUUGAGAGGAGCUGUCCUUAGUACGAGAGGACCGGGAUGGACAUACCUCUGGUGGACCAGUCGUCAUGCCAAUGGCGCAGCUGGGUAGCUAUGUAUUGAAUGGAUAACCGCUGAAAGCAUCUAAGCGGGAAACCAGCCUCAAAACAAGAAUUCCCUUGAGAGCCGUGGAAGACCACCACGUUGAUAGGCCGGGUGUGGAAGCACAGCAAUGUGUGAAGCUAACCGGUACUAAUUGCUCGAUUGACUUGAUCGU